UACGUAGGGGGCUAGCGUUGUCCGGAAUCAUUGGGCGUAAAGCGCGUGUAGGCGGCCCGGUAAGUCCGCUGUGAAAGUCGGGGGCUCAACCCUCGGAUGCCGGUGGAUACUGUCGGGCUCGAGUACGGAAGAGGCGAGUGGAAUUCCUGGUGUAGCGGUGAAAUGCGCAGAUAUCGGAAGGAACAUCAGUGGCGAAAGCGACUUCCUGGACCAAUACUGACGCUCAUGUGCGAAAGCGUGGGGAGCAAACAGG
rnacentral:rRNA from 1 species